CAGCCCAUGGCCCAGCCAGGCAAAGCUUUUUUCAGCAGCUCCAAUCCUGCUGUUUGUUUUGGAGAAACCGUAGCUGUAGGCGCGCGAAGUAGACCCGCAUAGAAGUAUUGCGCUGUCUCAGUUUAUCGGUGGUGGAGGUUGGUCAUGGCUGCGGAAUGACGAGAUUGAUUAGGGAACUUCAGGGUAUCAAUUUUUGAAUUUUUAGAGUUGUACCCAAAUAAUUGAUCAUGCCUCCAGGAGCAGAAAGCCAUGCGGGCUUGCCUCGGCACCCGCUUGACGAAGAUCAUGGCGUGGAGCUGCAGAGAAUGGCAAUUUUCAUCUUCAUCGUCAUCCUGCUACAUAUCGCUGGUGUUGGCUACUGGCUGUUGAUAGCAACAUCCAAUGAGCGCCGGGACGCGAGGCUGAAUCGCCUGAAGCGGAAAGACUCGGAUGAACACAUCCAACCGUAGACCGUGGGCGACUGGUAUUGCGUGAUGGAUAGGCCUACUGUUUGAAAGUGAGUCUUGAUCUUCACAACAGCUGUGUGCUACGUACACCUGUCAGCUCCCAACACCGGAAUGGCUACGUGCUCAGCACAGGCUUGCGUGGACUAACUUCAACAGCACGGCAAGCGCAAUAUGCCUGCAUUGCCCAGCCAGCGCUCCCGGCCUCUCUCCGAUGCGCGUUCUUCCCGUGUGUACUGUUGGGACGUGUGUUGAGCGCAAGUGGCUGGUGCUCGGUACGCUCGGUACCUGUGUUUCGUGCCGAUCUCGGGGUCAUCUCUGCCCUCUGCGGUCAUCCAGUCCGGCAUCGAGCGUAUUGGCUCUUUUCCCCGUCGAUCCAGUUCAACGCUGUGCGGAUGGAAGGAUUACAGGCUUGUGCUCUGUGCCAAAGCGUGCAGACUCACGAUCAGAGGAUGAGUCUCGCUACACGACCUGCCCCUGGUACGCUCGUUCCGCACGCAGACCGGACGUGACGUAUUUCGUUAUUCCCUUGUCUGGGCAUCAAACGCAGCAGUGUCCUGGUGUGGAGCUUAGAGUUUCCACGAUUACUUUGCAGUUGGAUUUACUGCCUAGCCUUUGUAGGGCAAGCUGGAUUUUACAAGCUUAUCUGGCUCUGUGUUGCCGUGAGUUCCGAACAAGGUCACGGUGGGUGCUACGUGCAGAUCAUGAUAGUGCUCCCAGAGUCUACUCUUUAGUUGGCGACUUUUACUAUUUGUUGGUGUUGUUGUUUUGGUGGUGGUGAUGGUGGUGAUAGUGGUGGUGAUAGUGGUGGUGAAAGUGGUGGUGGUCGUGAUAGUGGUGGUGGUGGUCAUGGUGGUGGUGAUUGUGGUGGUGGUGACGAUGGUGGUUGUGGUGUUUUCGGUAUGUUUAUUACCUAGAAUAUCUUUGUACCCGGACUCGGUUUUUAUCCUCUAUGCUAGGUUUUUAUUUAUUCCCGGCAACGGCUGGUGUCAUCGAGACAUUUUUGAAAAUUAUUUUUCUAUCAACUAUUAUCCGAAACAUGGCUAUUUUUUUAUUCAGCAGGACUUGCGGCAGUGCCAAUCUGAGACUGAUUUGUGUUGUGUGCUGCAGUAACAUUUCCUCAGACCACUGCUGUAGUCUACAUAUGGUAGUACACUCAAACCUCGGUCACCUGGACCCUGAAGUUACCGGCACGUCGGUCAACCGGGCACCCUUUGGGAGAGUUUCAAUGGAAAUUGUACUACUCUUUUGUCACUUUUUUGUGGAAUUAGUGACGUCAUAAUUAUCCCUUUGGGCGAGUUUCAAUAGAAAUUGUACUAUUCUUUUGUCA